rnacentral:rRNA from 1 species
GACGAACGCUGGCGGCGUGCUUAACACAUGCAAGUCGAACGGAGUGGCGAACGGGUGAGUAACACGUGGGUGAACUGCCCUGCACUUCGGGCUAAGCCUGGGAAACUGGGUCUAAUACCGGAUAGUGUGGGAUGGGCCCGCGGCCAAUCAGCUUGUUGGUGGGGUAAUGGCCUACCAAGGGGGCGACGGGUGGCCGGCCUGAGAGGGUGGACGGCCACAUAGGGACUGGGACACGGCCCAGACUCCUACUGGGGGCAGCAGUGGGGAAGAUGGCACAAUGGGCGGAAGCCGUAUGCAGCGACGCCGCGUGGGGGAUGACUGCUUUCGGGUUGGAAACUCCUUCCACCAUCGACGCGGUAGAUGGAGAGGAAGGACCGGCUAACUACGUGCCAGCAGCCGCGGUAAUAC